rnacentral:rRNA from 1 species
UACGAGUGCCUCAAGCGUUAUCCGGAAUCAUUGGGCGUAAAGGUUGUGUAGGUGGUUGUAUUAGUCUCUUGUUAAAUUCUUCGGCUUAACCGGGGGCAUGCAAGGGAAACGGUACGACUAGAGGAUGCGAGGGGUCUGUGGAAUUCAUAGUGUAGCGGUAAAAUGCGUUGAUAUUAUGGAGAACACCAAAAGCGAAGGCAGCAGACUGGAGCACUCCUGACACUGAAACAAGAAAGCGUGGGUCGCGGAUGGG